rnacentral:rRNA from 1 species
UACGAAGGGGGGCUAGCGUUGUUCGGAUUUACUGGGCGUAAAGCGCACGUAGGCGGAUUGUUAAGUGAGAGGUGAAAUCCCGGAGCUCAACUCCGGGACUGCCUUUCAUACUGGCAAUCUAGAGUCCGGAAGAGGUGAGUGGAACUCCUAGUGUAGAGGUGGAAUUCGUAGAUAUUAGGAAGAACACCAGUGGCGAAGGCGGCUCACUGGUCCGGUACUGACGCUGAGGUGCGAAAGCGUGGGGAGCAAACAGG